rnacentral:lncRNA from 1 species
CACCCAAAUAAAAUUUAACACAUCACACCCCUACCCCUACCCUACCUUACUACCCUACCCCACGUACCUCCUUCACAUUUUUCUUCUUUUUGUAACAAACCAUAGCAGAAUAAGGGACACAUACACAUUGAGGAGAAAGGAUCCAAAAUAGACAUCACACACAAUAUAAGGGGAGAGAGAUUCCAUCUCCGGGGGGGGGGGGGUCUUUCUUCCAUUUUCAAAGAACACACGCACAUAGAGCCAUAAAAUUCUUCAUAUUUUUCCUUCUUUCAUAUACACCCACACCACACACACAGAACAUGCACGCAACAAUAUACUCUUACCCACAUAGAGAUCCAAAUCAAGAGAGUGGUAGGAUAGAGGAAAGAGACGCGAGGGAGAUAGCGGAAAAGGGGGAAGUGAUUGGAAAAAAGGAACUGAGCGAGAGAGAGGGGAAAAAAGAUGUAGGCUGACUAUUUCCGGUGAUCUUUCGCUGAAAACUAGCCAAAAUCCGACACUGGAGAAUACCAUUGAUCUCUAAAAUCACCUAAAAAUUGACCAAAAUUCAGUUCAGGUGAGGUUUUCUUCAUUUUUUUGGUGAAUUCCGUUAAAGUUUUGUUAGAAAACGACAAACCAGCUGACUGUUCCUAACCAACUACCACCGUAAAUAGUCAAAACUACCAUAAACAGCUCGGCUCCAAUGAAAUUGAACAGAAAAUGAGCUACACAGUGACGUUUAUGCAUGAAAUCGGGUUCAGGUGUGGUCUAUCUUUCGCGAUAUCUAUUCAACUCAACUUGGUUUUUGAUUUCGUGAUUUCCCUAUUGGGUUCUGAUUUGAACGGAGCUUAGGUCAAAGUUUGUUGAUUUGGGGAUCGUAUAUGAGGUUCGAGUCGAGGUUUUUCUGUUGUGGGUCUAUCUUCAAUAUAUCGAAACCGACAAUUGAGGUCCAAUUCUAUUCCUUUUCUUUAAUUUCAUUGUUUUCUUAUAUUUGGUGUGUUGGAUUGAAUGUGUGUCUUGUUUGAUCUUUGUUGGUGAUGAAUGCGUAUUUAUUUUGAUUCUUUGUUAACGGUUUAAUUCGGAAUAAAUAUCAAUGUCGUUAAACACAAUAGUAUCAUGAUAGGGUGAAUUGGUAGGCAAAUGGUCGGCCGGGUAGGCAAAUUGAGGAAUAACGAUUUGUUGAGAAUGCCCCGAAGAAUUUGUAUUGAUUUAUCCGGGGAAUGCCUCGAAGUAUUCUGUACUCGAAGGACGUCCGUGAUGAAGGUCCGAGGCAUCGGGUAAGGCAUUGGAGCAUAGUUUAGGUUAGCGUAGGUUACAUUUCAGUAUCUUUUAUUUUGGUUUUGUAAUAAAUUAGACUGGACACUGUAUUUUUGGAUCUUGUUUUGUUUUCUUUUGUUGGUUGUUUGAUUGUUCAGCGUGAUUUUGUGUGAUUUAUACAUUCAUAGUGUCAAAUUAGCUGACAUGCUCCCCCAAGUGACCGUGGUUAAACCACGGGAUUGGGAGAUGCCUAACACUUUCCCCUCAGUCAACCGAAUUCCAUAAUCGGAAUCUCUAUUCGCGAAUCAGUUUUAGAGUCAAAACCUUUUUGAAAAAGGAUUUGCAAAGAUGACUUGGCACACCCGAUUAUGCCAAGUGGCGACUCUGAGUUUAAAUGUAAAUAAUCCUUUUUGAAAUAAUUUUUUUUAUUUUUUUGUCACUUUAAUAAUAAAAGCCCUUUCAAAACUUUAAAAUCUUAAUCUUUUUGGAGUUAAAAAAGGGGUGUGACACCUUUCAUACAACAUCGGUGACAAAUGUUAACUUUACCCUUUGAAGGAUUAUUUUGAGAACCUUUCUUAUUCUCUUGUUUAUUUCCAUCAUUAUGACGAUAAUUAUUUCUUCCUUUUCCACGUCCUCGCCCACGUCCACGACUAUGGCCUUGACCACGAUUUCGAUAAUAAUUUUGCCUUAUUUCAGGCUGAUCAUACGCUGCUACAAUAUUCGCUUCAGGGAAUGAAGCAGAUCCAGUGGGACGAGCUUCAUGAUUUUUCAUUCACAAAGUAUUAUUCUGCUCUGCCACAAGUAGGCUUGUAAUCAAUUCAGAAUAUUUAUUAAAUCCCUUUUCACGAUAUUGCUGUUGUAACAAUACAUUAAAAGCAUGAAAAGUGGAAAAAGUUUUCUCUAGUAAGUCCU